GGUUCUUUCCCAUCUCCAGAACAGACUUAAAGGCUGGCGAGUCCAGAGAGUCCCCUGACUUAUCAGUCAGCCCCUCCUCUGGUUGAGGUAGACCCUCUCUCUCAGCUCAAGGGGUCCAGCUUUUCUUCCCGCCCCCGGCAGGGGAGAUCUUGCCUAGUCACCCCCUGGAAUUGUCAGUUAGAUUAAUAUUGUGCUGGUCAUUUGGACCAUCAGAUCCCUGUGGCAGAAGCCCAGUCAGAGAAAGAAAAUUGAUGGGAAGGUCAGCCUCCUUUGAGUCCAGCCCACCCACUCAGUUCCAGACUCCCAGGGAUCCCCUACCAUGCCCUAUCUU
rnacentral:lncRNA from 1 species